UCCGAUUUGUCACCGGCAGUCUCCCAUGAGUCCCCGACAUUACUCGCUGGCAACAUGAGAUAGGGGUUGCGCCCGUUGCGGGACUUAACCCAACAUCUCACGACACGAGCUGACGACAACCAUGCAGCACCUCUGCUGGCUUCCUUGCAGAUCAGUCCAUGUUUCCAAAGACUUACUACCAGUAGUUCAAGCCCAGGUAAGGUUCUUCGCGUUGCGUCGAAUUAAACCACAUGCUCCACCGCUUGUGCGGGUCCCCGUCAAUUCCUUUGAGUUUUAAUCUUGCGACCGUACUCCCCAGGCGGUCGACUUCACGCGUUAGCUGCGGUACUAAGGAAGUCUCCUUCCCCAACACCUAGUCGACAUCGUUUAGGGCGUGGACUAC
rnacentral:misc_RNA from 1 species